GACGAACGCUGGCGGCGUGCCUAAUACAUGCAAGUCGAACGAGUGGCGGACGGGUGAGUAACACGUGGGAACCUACCCAUCAGAGGGGGAUAACUACGGGAAACUGUAGCUAAUACCGCGUACCAUAGGAGGAGCCCAAGUGGGAUUAGGUAGUUGGUGAGUGAAAGGCUCACCAAGCCGACGAUAGCUAGCUGGUCUGAGAGGAUGACCAGCCACGCUGGGACGGAGACACGGUCCAGACUCCUACGGGAGGCAGCAGUGGGGAAUAAUGCGCAAUGGGGGCAACCUGGAGCAGCCAGGCCGCUUGAAUGAAGAAGGCCUUCGGGUUGUAAAGUUCUUUCGGUAGCGAGGCGUUAACUACAGAAGAAGCACCGGCUAACUCCGUGCCAGCAGCCGCGGUAAUAC
rnacentral:rRNA from 1 species